UAUGCAAAUAAGUUUCAGAUACCCACAAAAAAUUAUUAUUUCUUAUAUUUUAAUUGUAUUCAUAGCUCAAUAAUAAUGAUUUAGGUUAAAUUUGUGAGAGUGUGAUAUCAUGCUUUGAUAUGGGCGGUGGGUGACCCUUUUCUUUUAUUUUCUUCUUCCAUAAUGGAGAGAGAUAGUUCAUAGUUGUGAAGGACUUUUCUUGAAUCUUGAGAGAUCACCAACAAAUUAAUAAAGCAUAAUAUAUUGCAUAGUACUCAGUCGACAGUCAUAUAUGUAUAAAAGAAAAUGAAAAUUAAGAAUUGUGGAGGCCCAUGCUUCUGUAUGUUUGGUCUUCCUCGUUAUUUUCAGUGCUAAAGCUCCUUUAUUUUAUUUAUUUAUUUACACAGAGAGAUAGCCUGUAAAAGCCUCCAAAGCCACUCCCUAAAAAAAAGCCAUAGAAGAAGACAACAUCAUCCCUCCAAAACCUACCAGCCUUUUUCAUUAUUUUACUCUUAUAGUGACCUGUCUUUCAUGUGCUUUUCUUCAUUUAUCUUUUUUCUUCUUCUCCAUUUGCUUCUCUUUGUCUCACCUAUACUUUGAUAUAUAUCAUUAUGUGGGUAAGUGAAAGAUUGAGAACUUGAGUACUUUGCAGCCUUGGUUGCUUUUUUUUUAUUGUUGAAUCAUGAGAAAUAUAGAGGUAUAGCUAGCUUUAAUUAGCUAGUUAUGAAUCCUUGGAAGAAGGAAAAGAGGUGUUUGGAAUGAAGUUUGAUCCAAGAUCCUUGUUUCUCUUUUAGUGUUUGGGUUUUUUUUCCCCUUUUGUUUCUAAAUGGGGAUUGAGUUUAAUUUUGAGUCUUUCUGUUGGUUUAAUGAGUUGUUGCAUGAAUAAAGAGAUUGAAGAAGAGAGAUUUUACUUGUAAAACUUCAAGAUCCUCUUCUCUUUUCUCUCUGAGAGAGAGAGAGAGAGAAGGGAGGGUUUCUGAUAGAAAGUUGAUUCAAGAUCCUUCUCUUUCUUUCUUUCUCCUCUUCUCUAUCUUAAUUUCUAUGUUCCUCUUAAAAAGAAAGAGCUUGAAAAUUUUGCAGUCAUGUUCAUGUCCUUUUUCCAUUUUUUUUCACUCUUGAUCUUGAAAAUAAUUACUUGAUAAUACCAUAGACUGAUCUCGGACCAGGCUUCAUUCCUCACACCAAGCUUUUCCAUGCUGAAACACAACAAGACCUCAAAAGAAGGUAAAGGAUGAUGAUGACAGAAUUUCUUCUUCACUGUUGUGUAGGGACUCCAAUGGCGAUGGUUAAGUUAUUUUCCUGAAAGCUAUAGGCUUUGAUUAGAUAAUGUCUUUGGUUAUUUUGAUAAUCAAGGACAGCAUUGUAGUUAUUUCUAAGACUGCGAGGUAUGAGCAUAAAUUCAGUUGAAGCAAAUUUUUUUUAAAGGAGAGUGAAUAUGAGAGGCAAAUUAAAGAAAAUUAGGGUUUAAAGGAAGUGUGAGAAGUGCAUACCUAUUUAAUGCAAAGGAGGUUUUCUAUAAUAUAAAUCUAAAGAGAAGUUAGGAAGAA